rnacentral:rRNA from 1 species
CGCCGUGCGGCAUGCUAUACAUGCAAGUCGAGCGGACGUUUCAGAGAGCUUGCUCUUUGAAACGUUAGCGGCGGACGGGUGAGUAACACGUGGGCAACCUGCCCUACAGAUGGGGAUAACUCCGGGAAACCGGGGCUAAUACCGAAUAAUCAGUUGGUUCGCAUGAACCAACUCUGAAAGACGGUUUCGGCUGUCACUGUAGGAUGGGCCCGCGGCGCAUUAGCUAGUUGGUGGGGUAAUGGCCUACCAAGGCGACGAUGCGUAGCCGACCUGAGAGGGUGAUCGGCCACACUGGGACUGAGACACGGCCCAGACUCCUACGGGAGGCAGCAGUAGGGAAUCUUCCACAAUGGACGAAAGUCUGAUGGAGCAAUGCCGCGUGAGCGAAGAAGGUUUUCGGAUCGUAAAGCUCUGUUGUAAGGGAAGAACAAGUACGGGAGUAACUGCCCGUACCUUGACGGUACCUUAUUAAAAAGCCACGGCGAACUACCUGCCACCAGACGCGGUGAUACGUAGGGUA